AGAGUUUGAUCCUGGCUCAGGAUGUUCGCUAGCGACAGGCUUAACACAUGCAAGUCGAGGGGCAGCAGGGGCGUAGCAAUACGCCUGCUGGCGACCGGCGCACGGGUGAGUAACACGUAUGAAACCUGCCCGUAGCAGGGGGAUAAGCGGAAGAAAUUCCGUCUAGUACCGCGUAAUAACCGUUUGGGGCAUCCCUUAAGGUUUAAAGGAGCGAUCCGGCUACGGAUGGUCAUGCGUCGCAUUAGCUAGUCGACGGGGUAACGGCCCACCGAGGCGACGAUGCGUAGGGGUUCUGAGAGGAAGGUCCCCCACACUGGUACUGAGACACGGACCAGACUCCUACGGGAGGCAGCAGUGAGGAAUAUUGGUCAAUGGCCGGAAGGCUGAACCAGCCAAGUCGCGUGAGGGAAGACGGCCCUAUGGGUUGUAAACCUCUUUUGUCGGGGAGCAAAGGCCGCCACGCGUGGCGGAUUGAGAGUACCCGAAGAAAAAGCAUCGGCUAACUCCGUGCCAGCAGCCGCGGUAAUACGGAGGAUGCGAGCGUUAUCCGGAUUUAUUGGGUUUAAAGGGUGCGCAGGCGGAAGGUCAAGUCAGCGGUAAAAUGUCGGGGCUCAACCCCGGCCGGCCGUUGAAACUGGUCAUCUAGAGUUGGAGAGAAGUAUGCGGAAUUCGUGGUGUAGCGGUGAAAUGCAUAGAUAUCACGAAGAACUCCGAUUGCGAAGGCAGCAUACCGGCUCCAUACUGACGCUCAGGCACGAAAGCGUGGGGAUCGAACAGGAUUAGAUACCCUGGUAGUCCACGCAGUAAACGAUGAAUGCUCGGUGUUCGGUAAGAAUGAUUACUGAGUGCCAUAGCGAAAGCGUUAAGCAUUCCACCUGGGGAGUACGCCGGCAACGGUGAAACUCAAAGGAAUUGACGGGGGCCCGCACAAGCGGAGGAACAUGUGGUUUAAUUCGAUGAUACGCGAGGAACCUUACCCGGGCUCAAACGUAGCAGGACGUACGCCGAAAAGCGCAUUUCACUUGUGACCUGUUACGAGGUGCUGCAUGGUUGUCGUCAGCUCGUGCCGUGAGGUGUCGGCUUAAGUGCCAUAACGAGCGCAACCCCUGCCGCCAGUUGCUAACGCGAAAAGGCGAGGACUCUGGCGGGACUGCCGGCGCAAGCCGUGAGGAAGGCGGGGAUGACGUCAAAUCAGCACGGCCCUUACGUCCGGGGCGACACACGUGUUACAAUGGGGGGCACAGCGGGAAGCCACUUGGUGACAAGGAGCAGAACCCCAAAGCCUCUCUCAGUUCGGAUUGGAGUCUGCAACCCGACUCCAUGAAGCUGGAUUCGCUAGUAAUCGCGCAUCAGCCAUGGCGCGGUGAAUACGUUCCCGGGCCUUGCACUCACCGCCCGUCA
rnacentral:rRNA from 1 species